rnacentral:rRNA from 1 species
UUGGAAAGUAAAAGUCGUAACAAGGUUUCGUCCUGAACAGUGGUCUUUCUCACUUGCGGAGCCUUUGCAGCUGGAGACAGUACGCCAAACGACUGAAAAUAAGUUGGCCUCAUGCAAGUCAGCGUCCCGCUGGCGACACUUUCGAAUUGACGGGGACCCCCUAAAGCCCUUCACACCAAACCAGUCUGGGAAACCUGCUGGCGGCCCGUUCUAACGCACGGGGAAUGGUGACAGAGGAAGGGAUAUUGCAAUGGGCGAUCCGCAGCGAAGCCCCUACAGCCGCCCGUUAGGGACGGUAUGGGGAACGUUCACAGACUAAGUGGAAGUGGGUGGGACUCAGGUCCUGCUUAAGAUAUAGUCGGGCCCUUGAAGAAAUUCGAGGGGGUUUAAACCGUUCCGUAGGUGAACCUUCGGAAGGAUCAUUAUCGAAAUCGCUCGCCUGCCAGUCCCCUACAAAGGGCUGUCAGCAGCGUUAUCACCCUUGCUUUUUGAGUACCUGUUUUUUUCCUCGGCGGGUUCGCCCGCCAGUGGGGAACCCAAAAAGAAUUUUGCAUCAAAAACUUUCGUCUAGUCUGAAAACAACCAAUAAUCAAAACUUUCAACAAUGGAUCUCUUGGUUCUGGCAUCGAUGAAGAACGCAGCGAAAUGCGAUAAGUAGUGUGAAUUGCAGAAUUCAGUGAAUCAUCGAAUCUUUGAACGCACAUUGCGCCCUUUGGCAUUCCAUAGGGCAUGCCUGUUCGAGCGUUAUUUAAACCCUCAAGCCCAGCUUGGUAUUGGGUGCUUGUGUCCUGCCUCUGGGCGGCGACUCACCUCAAAUUCAGUGGCAGCCCGCAUCCGCCGGCCGUGAGCGCAGCACAAACGCACUCCAGCCCAGGUGGAUCGGCUCUCCAGAAGUUCAUUUUCCAGUUUAACCUCGGAUCAGGUAGGGAUACCCGCUGAACUUAAGCAUAUCAAUAAGCGGGAGGAAAUAAA